AGUGAACGCUGGCGGCGUACCUAAUACAUGCAAGUCGAACGGAGUGGCGCACGGGUGAGUAAUGUAUAGCUAAUCUGCCCUACACUAGAGGACAACAGGUGGAAACGAAUGCUAAUACUCUAUAGUGAAGGAUGAGGCUAUAUAGUAUCAGCUAGUUGGUGAGGUAAUGGCUCACUAAGGCUACGACGCAUAACUGGUCUGAGAGGAUGAUCAGUCACACUUGAACUGAGACACGGUACAGACUCCUCCGGGAUGCAGCAGUAGGGAAUAUUGCUCAAUGGGGGAAACCCUGAAGCAUCAACGCCGCGUGGGGGAUGACACUUUUCGGAGCGUAACCUCCUUUUGUUAGGGAAGCGGUACCUAACGAAUAAGCACCGUCUAACUCCGUGCCAGCCGCCGCGGUAAUUC
rnacentral:rRNA from 1 species